GGCGGGUUAGUGUAGUGGUAACACUCCGGUCUCCUUAGCCGGCACAGGCAGUUCGAUUCUGUCACCCGCACCCA
rnacentral:tRNA from 1 species